ACGAACGCUGGCGGCGUGCUUAACACAUGCAAGUCGAACGGAAAGGCCUGCUUUCCCUUGUGGAUUGCGGGUACUCGAGUGGCGAACGGGUGAGUAACACGUGAGUGAUCUGCCCCCAACUUGGGUAUAAGCCUGGGAAACUGGGUCUAAUUCCCGAUAGGACUGCAGGGUGGUGCCUGUGGUGGAAAACGAUUUUCUAGUGGUUGGGGAUGAGCUCGCGGCCUAUCAGCUUGUUGGUGGGGUAAUGGCCUACCAAGGCGGCGACGGGUAGCCGGCCUGAGAGGGUGGACGGCCACAUUGGGACUGAGAUACGGCCCAGACUCCUACGGGACGCAGCAGUGGGGAAUAUUGCACAAUGGGCGGAAGCCUGAUGCAGCGACGCCGCGUGGGGGAUGACGGCCUUCGGGUUGUAAACUCCUUUCGACCGCGAGGAAGCCACCUGGUUGGAAGGGUGGUGACGGUAGUGGUAGAAGAAGCACCGGCUAACUACGUG
rnacentral:rRNA from 1 species